rnacentral:rRNA from 1 species
UACGUAGGUGGCAAGCGUUGUCCGGAUUUACUGGGCGUAAAGAGCGCGCAGGCGGUCGUUCAAGUCGCGUGUGAAAGCCCCCGGCUCAACUGGGGAGGGUCACGCGAUACUGAUCGACUCGAAGGCAGGAGAGGGUAGUGGAAUUCCCGGUGUAGUGGUGAAAUGCGUAGAUAUCGGGAGGAACACCAGUGGCGAAGGCGACUACCUGGCCUGUUCUUGACGCUGAGGCGCGAAAGCGUGGGGAGCAAACGGG